CUACUCGGGUAUCUAAUCCUGUUUGAUCCCCACGCUUUCGCGCCUCAGCGUCAGUUGUCGUCCAGAUAGCCGCCUUCGCCACCGGUGUUCCUGCUAAUAUCUACGAAUUUCACCUCUACAUUAGCAAUUCCGCUAUCCCCUCCGACACUCAAGCUUUACAGUUUCAAAGGCAAUUCCACGGUUGAGCCGUGGGAUUUCACCCCUGACUUGAAAAGCCGCCUACGCGCGCUUUACGCCCAGUAAUUCCGAACAACGCUAGCACCCUUCGUAUUACCGCGGCUGCUGGCAC
rnacentral:rRNA from 1 species